GAUGAACGCUGGCGGCGUGCCUAAUACAUGCAAGUCGAGCGAACAGACGAGGAGCUUGCUCCUCUGACGUUAGCGGCGGACGGGUGAGUAACACGUGGAUAACCUACCUAUAAGACUGGGAUAACUUCGGGAAACCGGAGCUAAUACCGGAUAAUAUAUUGAACCGCAUGGUUCAAUAGUGAAAGACGGUUUUGCUGUCACUUAUAGAUGGAUCCGCGCCGCAUUAGCUAGUUGGUAAGGUAACGGCUUACCAAGGCAACGAUGCGUAGCCGACCUGAGAGGGUGAUCGGCCACACUGGAACUGAGACACGGUCCAGACUCCUACGGGAGGCAGCAGUAGGGAAUCUUCCGCAAUGGGCGAAAGCCUGACGGAGCAACGCCGCGUGAGUGAUGAAGGUCUUCGGAUCGUAAAACUCUGUUAUUAGGGAAGAACAAAUGUGUAAGUAACUAUGCACGUCUUGACGGUACCUAAUCAGAAAGCAACGGCUAACUACGUG
rnacentral:rRNA from 1 species